CAACUAUUUAAAUUCGGAAAUUAAACUAAUCAAAUCGAACUAAAAAUUUCGGGGCAAUUUUCUGGGGUUUAUAUUAAGCGAAACUGAACUCUGUUACAAAUAAAGCUACUGAUAUGGAAUGAAAAUAAACUGCGCUAAGAAAUCUCCAUUGAUGAACUUGAACUCGAAACAGAAGAAGAGAAAAGGAGAAUUUAGGGAUUGAAGAAGAAGGAGACAAGAAGAGAGGGAGAAAGAGGAUUAAAGGAGGGGAGAAAAUACUCAACUGAUCAUUAUUCUUGUUGCUCUUUCAAGCGUCUAGUUAUAGGAUUCUCACGCAAUCACAGCCCUUAACCUUCGUUAACUCAGACUUAAUCUCGUGCGUCCACGUGUUAUAAUUCUAUUCGUCGCUUUGUUAUACUUCACUAUGCCAAUAUAUCCGGGUCAUUACAGUUUAUUUGUUGGUACUAGAAUUUGGGUCUUCACUCAUUGAAGUUUGUCCAGUUUCUUUGGUUAUCUAUCGUUGCGCGUUAUUAGUGCAAUAUUACUCUGUUUAUUGCACUUUCUUUGUUUGUACUCACAAUUUGGUGUGCAUAUUUGAACUUUUUAUUUUAUUUGAAUAAUGUCUUGGUAGAAUUCUUACACACAUCUCAAUAGUUGUACCUGAUUUGCACAUGCAUGAUGUGUUUUUGAUGAAUUUUGUCCUUUGCUACCAACUAAUAGUGCAGAAUUAACCUGGGUCUCUUUAUUUGCCAUAUAUUUGAGGCAUCAACAUUGUUGUAAUCUUCUUAAUUGUUUACUUAUUGGGAAAUGGACUAUGCAACCAAUGUGUUUGAUGAUAAAUCCUUAUUUGGAGUAGAGUAAUGAAGUCCAUAAAUUAUAUUUUAGUGUUGCCAUUAGUCGAAGAUUUGUGGGUUUUUAAUACUCGCGAGCCAGAAUUAUAUGAAUUGAACAACUCUGCACUUCAUAAUUGUAACAACUGACUCCAUUGAGAGGCCUGAACAUACUUAGCUCUUGCACUAUGUUGUAUGGUUGACAUUUUGUGGUGUUAUUCAGGCUGCUGCAAUAGAGGGGAAAAAAAGAACAUCUAUUUAAUGGGUUUGGUCUUCGACUCUUUGCUAUGGGAGGGUGUAGAAGAUUCUGUCAAACCAUGGAGUCUGGGGGCUACAAUUCUGCAUCAUGAGCAAAUAACUAAAUGGGAGUUGACUUGACAAGAUGACCCAUGAAGAAAUAAGUUAGCCAUACAUGGCUUUAGUGAGACGAACAGUACGUACUGAGAAUGGUCAGGACAAGAGCUUGCAGAAGUAGAAUCCAAGUGUUGAACGCGUCAAAGUCAAUAUUUGCUCCAUGUUGGUUUCAAUUCUGCAUUUGAUAUGGAGGUACGUAGUUUGUGAUAACAGCGAAACAAUAUUUGAAUAUGAUCGCAUUAUUACUGGCGUAUUUUUAUCAAACAGAGAGGCUUAUACUGGAUUAAAAUGGAAACCUCACAAUCCAGGAGUUUAGUGAAAGUGGAAAAUGAGAGAUUUUAAGAAUCUUAAGCAAUUGCAGCUAUCAAAUUACGCAACGAUAAACAAAGCCAAACUGCAUUUCAUAUGACCGUUGAGGUCAGGAUACUUAUAUGAACGAGCAAGUACUGGAUGCUGGCAGCUCAAUAUUGAUUGAGCAUGACAAGAAAGGCAAUACAACUUUACACAUAGCCACAUGGAAAUAUCGUCUUGAUGUAGCUUUUUAAUUAGUUUCUUACGGUUAUAACAUGAACUUGCUAUUCUGAAUGCAUUAAAGAUCUGAUCUCAUCUUUGGAUUUUGAAAGUAAAGGUUAUUUUUUGUAGCACUCGAUUUCCUGAACUGUUCUUGAGCUGUCAAUGCAUUCUUAAUCCUUUCAUUUUUAUCGUAUUGUUAAACAAAAUGGUCAGUAUAGAUUUAUGCUAAGAUAAAUUUCCAGAAUAAUGAAGUAGAUUUUUUUGUAAAAAUAAAGAAAAAGAAAAGAAAAAAUAUUAUCAGCUAUAGAAUCUAGCAGUGAGUAGGGGCUAGAGUUUAACUUUAAUGUUUUUGAUUGUUUUCUUCAGCUUUUGUUGAUGUGAUUUUCCCCCUUUGUUGUGACAUAUAAAAUUUAGUGCUGAUAUGGAUAUGUCGGAUGGAGACUUUUUUGUGGCUCUAUCACUGUAACAUAAACAAAGUUUGAGUUUCAGAUUCAUUAAUUUCAUUGCUGACCGAAGCUUCGUUAGUUUAUCAUAUGAUCUUUUGUCAGUUUCACAAUAUGAAGGCACACAAAAGUUACUUGGAAGAUCUACUUAGUGUUAUAUUUCAUUUGACAAAUUCUUCUCUGGUGAACUACUAAAGACAAAAAUAUUCUCUUUAAUGAACUUCACUACACUAGUAUUUCCUUCCUAUUAGUUGUGAACUUGUGGUCGUCUCAUCAAUGCCUUUACAAAGAUGAUACUUUUAUUUUUCAAGAACUAUACUUCAUGAAGUGUGUUCAUGCGCAUCAUGCAAUUUAUGGCUCCAUAUUAUUUAUAUUUCCAAAAUAGAUUGGAGAGCGUAUAUAAAUGUAAUUCUUUUUGUAGCUUAUAUGAUUUAAUUUUCUGAUUUCCUGCUUCAGAUCUUGCCAUUGCUUUUCCACAUUGGCCUUUUCUCGAGGUAUAUGCCUAUAUAUACGAAGGGUCAUAUUGUAAGUUAACUAUUGCUCUUUUUUGGUCCUAUGAGCAUUUUCUUUUUCUGUUCUACUGCAUAUUUGAUUUGCUGUCUUGAAAGCUGCUCAGGUGAUCUGAGGAGACAAUGGUUUCUUUCAUACCUUAGUCAUUUGAUUUAUUUGAUUCCUUACAUGUAGCUGAUUAAUAAUUGUGACCUUAGGAACGUCCAACAUGAUGACAUUUGUCUAGAGAAACCAGGACAAUGGUUAAUGGUAAUAGCUGCCAGCUUAAGUUUCUUGGUUUUCUCUCCUCCUUGACCUCACACAACUGGAUUUCAUAAUAACUGGGAUUGUCAUUGUAUACUGUUGUUAUUUUCACUCUGUGGCUUCUGAUUGGUUUUGAGGAGUUUCUCCUUCAGUGGUGUAGAGGAGAAAACUAGCUUUUCAGAUAUAUUUUUUUCUCUGCUUUUUUGGAACCCCUGUCAUUUAUGUUUGUGGAUGAAAGUGGCAUUGUAACUCUCUCCAUUUGCUAUUGUUUUUUGGAUUCUGAGAUGGAGGAGUAGAAAGGAAAUGAGGACUUUAUGAACAUAGGCUAUAAAUUAGAAGUGGUCCAGAUUAUUUAUCUUUGUUGAAGCAUGUGGAAGACUUAAGAGGUUGAAUUGCUAAUUAUGAAAGUUGGAGACUCAGAAUCUUUUUGAGAAAGAGUUAUCUGAUAUUGUUUUCAUUGCUGGAAAGGUAGAACAUGAUAUGCCAGCUGAUAAGCUUAGUUCAUCCGUUGAAGAAAUUGUUCACCUGCCAGACACAAGUUAUUCAAAGUUACAUGUGUUAGCAUCUGUUUAAGUGUUCAACUUGGAGUCCCUUUUGUGCUUCUGCUUUGUCUUUCGUGGUUUCUCAACCUGUAAUAAUAAUAUCUUUUGGUGUUUGCAGUCUGCUUUGAAUUUUAGCAGGUUGGUCUUUCACAAGAGAAGGUUCAACUCCUCCAUCCUUUAGAAGUUCUUCAUCACAUGUAAUACAGAGAGAACAAAAACGGAGAUUGCAUCUACUUUUGAGAAUAUAUUUAGUUUCUUAAAUUUCAAGUUUGUAAUUACAAGUGAAGUAAGGGCAUAUAAGAUACCUUUAAUUCGUGUAUGUUGCUAUGACUAUUUUUGAUUCAAUAAAUGAUAGUUACAACGUAA